GACGAACGCUGGCGGCGUGCUUAACACAUGCAAGUCGAACGAAGUGGCGAACGGGUGAGUAACGCGUAAUCAACCUGCCCUUCAGAGGGUGCCAACAGUUCGAAACGACUGCUAAUACCGCAUACUGAAGGAGGGGAUUGCGUCUGAUUAGCUAGUUGGAGGGGUAACGGCCCACCAAGGCGAUGAUCAGUAGCCGUUCCUGAGGUGAGAACGGCGAAAUUGGGACGUGGAGACGGCCCAGAUGCCUACGGGAGGGAGCAGGGGGGAAUCUUUCGAAAUGGACGAAAGUCUGAGGGAGCAAACCCGCGUGAGGGGUGAGGGGCUUCGGGUUGUAAAGCUCUAUUAAUCGGGGCGCGGUACCGGAAUAGAAAGCAACGGCUAACUACGUGCCAGCAGCCGCGGUAAUUC
rnacentral:rRNA from 1 species